UACGAAGGGGGCUAGCGUUGUUCGGAAUUACUGGGCGUAAAGCGCACGUAGGCGGAUUUGUAAGUCAGGGGUGAAAUCCCGGGGCUCAACCUCGGAACUGCCUUUGAUACUGCAAGUCUCGAGUCCGAUAGAGGUGAGUGGAAUUCCUAGUGUAGAGGUGAAAUUCGUAGAUAUUAGGAAGAACACCAGUGACGAAGGCGGCUCACUGGAUCGGUACUGACGCUGAGGUGCGAAAGCGUGGGGAGCAAACAGG
rnacentral:rRNA from 1 species